GACGAACGCUGGCGGCGUGCUUAACACAUGCAAGUCGAGCGGUAAGGCCCUUUCGGGGGUACACGAGCGGCGAACGGGUGAGUAACACGUGGGUGACCUGCCCUCAGCUCUGGGAUAAGCCCGGGAAACUGGGUCUAAUACCGGAUAUGACUUCAUGACGCGUGUUGUGGAGUGGAAAGCCUUGUGCGGCUGAGGAUGGGCCCGCGGCCUAUCAGCUUGUUGGUGGGGUGAUGGCCUACCAAGGCGACGACGGGUAGCCGGCCUGAGAGGGCGACCGGCCACACUGGGACUGAGAUACGGCCCAGACUCCUACGGGAGGCAGCAGUGGGGAAUCUUGCGCAAUGGGCGAAAGCCUGACGCAGCGACGCCGCGUGAGGGAUGACGGCCUC
rnacentral:rRNA from 1 species